AUUUCUCCAAUCCUGGGCCCCAAGCUCCAUCCUCCGAGCCACGCCUCCUUCUCUGCUCCCUCCUCCUCCCAGCCGUCCUACAGCGCCCCCCUGACAGGCUCCACCCACAGCAGCUGGCAGGGGGCACCGCCCAGCCAGGCCCCUGACACACCUUGGUCAGGCUCCACCCACAGUGGCCAGCAGGGGGCGCUGCCUGGCUGGAGCCCCGUCACACCUCAGGGACAGCCCCUGAGUCCUGUUCAGCUGAAGGCCAGUGCUCCCAGUCUGACCAGUGCUCCCAAUCUGGUCCAGGUGUCCUCCGCCGUCUCACCGUCCCCCCUACAGGAGGUGAGGAAACCGUCCGUCUUAUCUGUCGGUCGUUUCCAGGUGACGCCCUCUAAAGAUGUUCCCGUCAUCCAUAAUCAGGAACCACGCCCCCUAAAUCAGGCCACACCCACCGCCCACUCCCCGCCUCCCUCCACUGUGAACCAAUCAGAGAGCUCAGAGAGCAGCACGUCGGAGCAGAGUGACACACAGAGCAGCGUCAGU